rnacentral:rRNA from 1 species
UGCGUAGGCGGACUAAUAAGUCAGUGGUGAAAUCUUUCGGCUCAACCGAGAAACUGCCAUUGAUACUGUUAGUCUUGAGUUCGGUUGAGGUAGGCGGAAUGUGUAAUGUAGCGGUGAAAUGCUUAGAUAUUACACAGAACACCAAUUGCGUAGGCAGCUUACUAGACCGACACUGACGCUGAGGCACGAAAGCGUGGGGAGCGAACAGGAUUAGAUACCCUGUUAGUCC